rnacentral:tRNA from 1 species
GGCCGUGUAGCUCAGAAGGAUAGAGCAAGAGUUUCCUAAACUCUAGGUCACAGGUUCGAAUCCUGUCACGGUCACCA